GUAAGUGUAACAUGUGAGCAUUACUAGGCAUUUCAUCCUGCGGGGCUGCAGUCUUGGCUCUUCAGGCUGUUGCUUAGUUGAAAUGCUUCUGCGGGACCGAUCCUGAGGUUGUGUAGCUAUUUCUCAAGGGCCUGCUCGUUUGCGGAUAUCAGCGGCAUUUUGCAAGAUCAUCUGAGGAACAGGAAAGCAUUUGAAAUCAACUGAAGGAUAACUGUAGCGGUUUUCACCGGGGAAGGAGCUAUAUUGGCACAGAGGCAGAUGACUGAAUAAAGUAGUUGGCUCUGAGAAGAUGCACAGUCCGCUGCUUUUCCUCUGAAUGAAGACUGUUUAAUGGAAGCUGUAUUCAUGUAGAGAUCAAAGGAAAUACUACAGUGAUAAACUACCUUCUUCCCUUCUCCUUUUAAAAUGAAAACCCUGAAGCAGUAAUUGGAGCUCAAAGGUCUUCAGGUUCUUUUGCUGUCUGCUUGUUCUAUUAAGAUUCUCCACUGACACCAUUUCUGCCUGGUGCCUGUGCCUUUCUUGCUGGGCUGCUAGAAACAACUGCCUGAUGGAGAAAGAAUGAAAGCUUUGCCUUGCCUGUUACUGAUGGGAUAAAGCUAGCUCUGUUUCGCCUAUUAUUGGGAAGUCUGGAUUAAUCAACUUGUAUUCUCGUACCAGUAGUCCUAUUGUCUCUUGCGAUCUGACUCAUCACAUGUUAAUGUGCUGCAGCUUUGCUGUUAAUGCAGAUGGUGGUUUGUUCUCCUUCUGUCUUCUUCUUCUCUUUCUUUCCUAAACACGGAAAGAGCUGACAACGUCUGAGCUUCGUUUUCAGAAUUUAGGCUAAAUUUUAUGUAUUUUUGUUUGUUUGUUCCCUGAAUAAUAUCUGUAUUAAGUCAGUGAAGCUGAAGAAAUGAAGACCAAUUAGAAGUGGAAACAGAAUAGUGAGAUUCUGGUUUUAAUUUUCAGCUACAGACCGCCCAGCCUUCUGGUAACUAUAUGACCUUGCCGACGAGAGUGGGGGUAUCUGCUGCUACCUCUGUGACAGCAGCUGCUUCUCAUUUCAUUUGUUAUGGUGUGAUGGUGUGUCACCCAAAACAAUGAUUGUUUUGUACAAGUAAAUUUCAGAGCUCAAUGUAACUAUUUUGGUGGAAGAAAAUAUUUUUUAAAAGAAUAGUCCUAGACGGAGUUUUAAUUAUUGACACGCUGAUGUGAACCUUUUUAUAGAUUGUAGUAACCUGCAGAAAGAAGUAGGUUUUUAUUUUUAGGAAGUUAUGUACCAUAAUUUUAAACUUAAGUUUCUCUAAUAUUACUAACUAUAAAACCAGCGGCACUGUUCAGAGAAUGUUUAUAAGUGGUGUACAGAAGAGGAGGAAAAACUGCUUGUGCUCGUCCCACUGUGACUUUUAUCACAUAGCUUGGAGUUUAAUGUUUUAAAAGAGCGAAUGAGUCGAGUGUGUAUUGUUGUUUUGGAGGAGGUAGAAGAUGAUUCUCCUGUAUUCAUUUCUAAGUUGCCCCAGGAAAGUACAUGUCUACAACCUCCACCUUCUGGAAAUGUGUUGCCAUCACUGGUGCAAGCUAUAUUUAAUGGUGAUCCAGAUGAAGUCCGAGCACUAAUAUUUAAGAAAGAAGAUGUUAACUUUCAGGACAAUGAGAAGAGAACCCCUUUGCAUGCUGCUGCCUAUCUUGGUGACGCAGAAAUCAUUGAGCUGCUUAUUUUAUCUGGAGCUAGAGUUAAUGCCAAAGACAGCAAAUGGUUGACACCUUUACACAGAGCAGUUGCAUCGUGUAGUGAGGAAGCAGUUCAGAUACUUUUGAAGCAUUCUGCAGAUGUUAAUGCUCGAGAUAAAAAUUGGCAGACCCCUUUACACAUAGCUGCUGCUAAUAAAGCUGUAAAGUGCGCUGAAUCUUUGGUACCUCUUCUGAGCAAUGUGAACGUGUCCGACCGAGCAGGAAGAACUGCAUUACAUCAUGCAGCUUUCAGUGGGCAUGGUGAGAUGGUCAAACUACUCUUGUCCAGAGGUGCCAAUAUAAAUGCUUUUGACAAGAAAGAUAGGCGUGCAAUCCAUUGGGCAGCAUAUAUGGGUCACAUUGAAGUAGUAAAAUUACUUGUAUCUCAUGGAGCUGAAGUGACAUGUAAGGAUAAGAAGUCUUACACACCUCUUCAUGCAGCAGCCUCUAGUGGAAUGAUCAGUGUAGUCAAAUAUCUUCUAGAUCUUGGAGUUGAUAUGAAUGAACCAAAUGCCUAUGGAAACACACCUCUUCAUGUGGCCUGUUACAAUGGACAAGAUGUUGUUGUGAAUGAGCUCAUAGACUGUGGUGCUAAUGUCAAUCAGAAGAAUGAGAAAGGGUUCACUCCUUUGCACUUUGCUGCUGCAUCAACACAUGGAGCACUGUGUUUAGAACUUCUGGUUGGCAAUGGAGCUGAUGUCAAUAUGAAGAGUAAAGAUGGGAAAACCCCACUACAUAUGACUGCCCUCCACGGUAGAUUCUCCAGAUCACAAACGAUUAUCCAGAGUGGAGCUGUAAUAGACUGUGAAGAUAAGAAUGGGAACACCCCUUUGCAUAUAGCAGCCCGGUAUGGCCAUGAGCUUCUAAUCAACACUCUUAUUACAAGUGGUGCUGACACUGCAAAGCGUGGUAUACAUGGAAUGUUCCCACUCCAUUUGGCAGCCUUAAGUGGUUUUUCAGAUUGCUGCAGGAAACUCCUUUCUUCAGGAUUUGACAUAGAUACCCCAGAUGAUUUUGGCAGAACCUGUCUACACGCAGCUGCAGCUGGAGGAAAUUUGGAGUGCCUAAACCUUCUGCUGAAUACUGGUGCAGACUUCAACAAAAAGGAUAAAUUUGGAAGAUCUCCACUGCACUAUGCUGCUGCCAACUGCAAUUACCAGUGCCUGUUUGCUCUUGUGGGAUCAGGAGCAAGUGUGAAUGACCUUGAUGAGAGAGGCUGCACACCCCUGCACUAUGCAGCUACAUCUGACACAGACGGCAAGUGCCUGGAAUACUUACUAAGAAAUGAUGCCAACCCAGGGAUCCGGGACAAACAAGGCUAUAAUGCAGUUCACUACUCAGCUGCGUAUGGUCACCGUCUGUGUCUUCAACUGAUUGCAAGUGAAACUCCUUUAGAUGUUUUAAUGGAAACCUCGGGAACAGACAUGUUGAGUGAUUCAGAUAAUAGAGCAACAAUAAGCCCUUUACAUUUGGCUGCUUAUCAUGGUCACCAUCAAGCCCUGGAAGUGUUGGUACAGUCUUUGUUAGAUCUUGAUGUAAGAAAUAGUAGUGGUAGAACACCCUUAGAUCUUGCAGCCUUUAAGGGCCAUGUUGAAUGUGUGGAUGUACUCAUUAAUCAGGGAGCUUCAAUCCUCGUAAAAGAUUACGUUUUGAAGAGAACACCUAUCCAUGCAGCAGCAACAAAUGGUCAUUCAGAAUGCUUACGGUUAUUAAUAGGAAAUGCAGAGCCACAGAAUGCAGUAGAUAUUCAAGAUGGAAAUGGACAGACACCUCUUAUGCUGUCGGUUCUCAAUGGGCACACGGACUGUGUAUACUCACUACUGAACAAAGGAGCAAAUGUAGAUGCCAAAGACAAGUGGGGAAGGACAGCGUUGCACAGAGGGGCAGUGACAGGCCAUGAAGAGUGUGUAGACGCAUUACUUCAACAUGGUGCUAAGUGCUUACUACGGGACAGCCGGGGUCGGACACCCAUACACUUGUCAGCAGCCUGUGGACACAUUGGAGUUCUUGGAGCCCUUUUGCAGUCAGCAACAUCUGUGGAUGCAAAUCCAGCCGUAGUAGACAAUCAUGGGUAUACAGCACUUCACUGGGCUUGCUACAAUGGUCAUGAGACAUGUGUGGAGCUACUUUUAGAACAGGAUGUUUUCCAGAAAAUAGAUGGAAAUGCUUUCAGCCCCCUGCAUUGUGCCGUGAUCAACGACAAUGAAGGUGCAGCUGAGAUGCUGAUUGAUUCCUUAGGAGCCAGCAUUGUGAAUGCCACAGACUCAAAGGGAAGAACUCCUCUCCAUGCCGCUGCCUUCACAGACCAUGUGGAGUGUUUACAACUGCUGCUCAGCCAGAAUGCUCAGGUCAAUUCCGCAGACUCUACCGGAAAAACACCUCUCAUGAUGGCUGCAGAAAACGGACAAACCAAUACAGUUGUGAGUUACUGGUAAUUUAAGAAACAUGUUCAUAAGCAUAAGAAUUGAUGCACUUUUUCCUCCCAGAGAUGCUGGUUAGCAGUGCUAGUGCAGAUCUGACAUUACAAGAUAAGAGUAAAAACACCGCCCUUCAUUUGGCUUGUGGCAAGGGUCAUGAAACUAGUGCCUUGUUAAUUCUGGAAAAGAUAACAGAUAGAAACCUCAUCAAUGCAACCAACGCAGCCUUGCAAACACCUCUGCAUGUUGCUGCCCGAAAUGGGCUCACGAUGGUUGUUCAAGAGCUCCUGGGGAAAGGAGCCAGUGUGCUUGCUGUUGAUGAGAAUGGCUACACCCCAGCUUUGGCCUGUGCUCCCAAUAAGGAUGUGGCUGACUGCCUGGCUCUCAUUUUGGCCACCAUGAUGCCUGUCUCGUCAAGUAGCCCAUUGACAUCCCUGACAUUCAAUGCCAUUAACCGUUAUACCAACACCUCAAAAACAGUUAGCUUUGAAGCCUUGCCUAUCAUGAGGAAUGAAGCCAGCUCCUACUGCAGUUUUAACAACAUUGGUGGCGAGCAGGAGUACUUGUACACCGACGUGGAUGAGCUCAACGACUCUGACUCCGAGACCUACUGAAAGGCCGAGUGAGCUGCAGCUCUAAGGAAGUUCUGACACUGAAACUUCAAAUCGGGCUUUUUCGGGAAAAAGGCACUUUCUUAUCAUACACAGAUUCAACCUGAAGAAAGAUCAUGCAGUGAACGAAUGGAAGAAACAUGAUGACAUUAGGAAGAAGAGUCUUAAAGGCAAGUUUUGCAAAAGGAACUUCUAGAAUCUUAAUAAUGACUUGACCAGUGGAAAACACAGUGAUGUCGAUUGCUUUGUGGGAUCGUUUAAUUGGCUUUGCAGUGCCAGAAAUUGGGACACUGCUCCCUGACCUGCUUACAUGGGCAACACUGCUGUAAAGAAAGAGAUCAAAACACUAGAUUAAAUUUUACCCAUAAAAUUACAGCUAAAUUUUAAUGCAAUAAAAGUUUGGUAUAAUAGGCAUUAUGUACACAUCAAAUUGCCAAGGACCAAAUAACAUACAGAUUUUUUUAUUAGAACUCCAUUUUGUGGAAACGGAAAUAGAUGAAAUGAGAAGUCGUCUAAAGCAAACUUCAGUGCUUCUGAAAGUGAGGCCAGAUUCGGUUUGGUGUUGGUUUUUAUAAGAAAGCAUCUACUGUAUUAAGCCAUGAGAGGAAGCAGAUGUAUUUUUACAUUUUUUAAUAUAAAAGUUUUUAAAUUCCACUUUUUAUAGACUUCAGAACCAGUUAACUGGGUGCAGCGUGGUUGAAAGUACUAGAGACAGACGCAGAUGAAGUCAGGGCUGUUGCCCACGAUUGAGUGGUUUGCUUUUAAAUUGAAUUGUUUUUGUUUAAGGAAUUCCAUAGAGGAAAUUUUUAAUGAAUUUAAAAAACAGACUAUUUCACCUCUUGUAAUGCAGCGGUCCUGGAGAAGGGACAUCUGAGCCUCUCUGUGCGCGGCACACCUGCAUCACGUUAGUUACUUUGGGACCUCUACCUUUUUUGGCUGGAGGAAUUCUAUUGUCAUUUAUUUUAAUCUUUGAACUUUAAAAACAAGAAUCAAAAUUUUAAAAAGUUUGAAGACUCUUGUUAUGAAACAUUGUCGAAAGCUGGUUGUGAAUUCUAUACAAACUGGGAUUGUAAAUGUUUUAUGUAAAAGAAAAUACUUAAAAAUGUACCUGCUUCCUCUCCUGCGUCCUCACAGCACUGGAAGGUUCUUGAAUGCAUCCUUUCCUUUGUUGUUGUUGUUGUUGUUGUAGUCGUUUGUUGUUUUAAGACAGGGCUCUCUAUGUGUAGCCCUGGCUGUACUAGAGUUUGCUUUGUAGACCAGGCUGGCCUCGAUCUCACAGAGAUUCACCUGUCUCAGCUUCCUAAGUGCUGGGAUUAAAGGUGUGCACCACCACUGCCUGGCUUCAGAUGUUUUCUUUAUAAAAAUCAACAUCAAACCAUUUGGCUUCCUUCUCAGAAGCAUUGGAGUUUGCUUUAGAUGAUGACUCAUAACAUAAACAGAAUCAGGUCAUUUGGAAGGCAUUUCUGUACUGGGCAAGAUUUAAAAUACUUCAGGCUUUAGGUCCUCCUGAGAUCUAGAGUAGCGGGUGUGCAGCUUCUUACUGUCAGAGCUUGCCUGCCAAAUUGAAGACUGCCUUUCAGGUAACAGAGAAGAGGCUGACAGUAGGCUAAUUUUAAAUUACACUUUUCUGUGGUUCUUUUAUUGUAACUGUCACUUUCCCAGUAACAAUGAUUUUACAUUGGGGGGAGGGGUCUUACUAGAGCUGGGUAAAGUUCCAUACAUUGCAACAAAAUGAUACCCAAUUCCAUCUUACCCUUUUUGUAUUGUGAAACUGGAACUUUAUGACAUUGUAAAUUAUCAGCUGGUUUUUCUGAAUAUAAAGUGUGAAAACACAGAACAGUAUUUUGAUCUAUUUGAUAAUUUUGUGGGUUUUUUGAAGAAUUAAUGAGCAUGUACAUAGAAAUAGUGACUGCUUGAAUCCUGUAUUUACUUGCACUCUUUCAGUACAUCAAGAUUCCUGUAUAUUUUAGAGUAUAAUAAAACACAGACGUGAGCUGUAUUUAAUGAAUAAUGUAUUUGUAUCUGUGCAUAUUACUUAAAAAUCUAUAAAGUUUCUAGGGCAUUGACUACUAGAUUUUAAGCAUUUUUCUAAAAUAUUUGCAAAAUUAUAAAUAUAAUCUCCAUCUUUUCUUUAUAAUAUAAAGGAGUCGUAAUGAACCCUUCGUAAUUAAUAGUGGGAGAAGGGUAAAUAUGCAUUUUAAAAGACCGUAGACUACAUUUCUAUUGUACCUUUUAAAAAAGAAAACUCAAGAGGAUUCUAAAAGUAUACCAUAUGUGUGCUUUCUCUUUCCUUUUAGGAAUUCUCUUCUGAAUUCCCUGAGGGAAUUUUCUAGAAUCUCAGAAUUGAAAGAGACCUGAGGUCCAUCCAGUCUAACCUCUUAAAUGCAGGAGUCCCUUCUCCAAGGUUGUCUUUCCACCUUGAACACUUCCAGUGACUACCUCACGAGCAGUCCAUUCAUUGUUGAGCAGCUCUGUUAGGAAGGUCUCCUUAAUGGAGCUGAAGCCUCCCUCCUGGUAACUUCUGUCCUUGGGCCCAGCUCUGUCCUCCAAGGGAAUGCUGGAAGGAUGACUUUCCACCCUCUGCCAUGUCUUCUCUUUCACAGGCUGAAGUGAUUUCCAGAUGGACUCAUUAGACACAUUGUCUGCACAUCUAUUGAAGUCAAAUGUGUAGCUAUAAAGUAACAAACUCAUCUUUUAAUUUAUCCUCAUAUGUAUGUAGAGACCAAGAUCCUGCAUCACUUUAAGUAAAACACUCGGGAGGUGGUUUGUGCUGUUACCAGCCGACUAGAAAAGCUGUUCCUUUGUGGUAGUUUGUCUCUAGCUUGAGCAACCCACUUCCUUUGGUGUGCACUGGAAGAGGGAAAUUUUGAAGUACUAUCCCAGAAAGUGUUGACUAACACCAGUAUUUGGAAUAAAUACAGGAGCACAGCAUAGCGCCAUACGUUACUUUAUAGUUACAUACACCUAUAGUGUGCACAAAGCAUUGGUCCUGGUGGGUCGGUUGUGUAUUUAUCCUCGCCCACAAGGGGAAAGUCUGUCGGCCUUUAAUUUCUGUGAGAAAGGUGACAUCUAAGAUAUGUGUUACAGAAAUACCAGCUUUUGCUCAGAAACAACUUUGGGGGAGAUAACGAUGACAGGUGACCUCAAACAGUGCCAUUUAGUUCAGAGAUCUCUAAAUGUAGCUGUAAAUUUGGGGUUAAUUUGGCUUCAAAUAUUGGAUCUUUUAAAUGAAAUAAAAAUUUUUAAUGUAAAAAA